AUUGAACGCUGGCGGCAGGCCUAACACAUGCAAGUCGAACGGUAACAGGAAGAAGCUUGCUUCUUUGCUGACGCGUGGCGGACGGGUGUGUAAUGUCUGGGAAACUGCCUGAUGGAGGGGGAUAACUACUGGAAACGGUAGCUAAUACCGCAUAACGUCGCAAGACCAAAGAGGGGGACCUUCGGGCCUCUUGCCAUCGGAUGUGCCCAGAUGGGAUUAGCUAGUAGGUGGGGUAACGGCUCACCUAGGCGACGCUCCCUAGCUGGUCUGUGAGGAUGACCAGCCACACUGGAACUGAGACACGGUCCAGACUCCUACGGGAGGCAGCAGUGGGGAAUAUUGCACAAGGGGCGCAAGCCGGAUGCAGCCAUGCCGCGUGUAUGAAGAAGGCCUUCGGGUGGUAAAGUACUUUCAGCGGGGAGGAAGGGAGUAAAGUUAAUACCUUUGCUCAUUAACGUAACCCGCAGAAGAAGCACCGGCUAACUCCGU
rnacentral:rRNA from 1 species